rnacentral:misc_RNA from 1 species
CAGCCUUUAGUUGGCUAACGACAGCGGUACGUGCUGCAUGCGUGCGGUCGGUUCGGAAAUCAAAUUGGAAACCAUCAUCAAAGUUCUGGAAACACUGGCAAAAUCAAAGAAUACUUCUGCAACAAUUUAAAGAACUGAUAGGACAGUCAGGAUGUAUUUACCGUAUUCGCAAUUGCCGGAUCCAACCGAUAAGUUUGAGAUCUAUGAAGAAAUAGCCCAGGGUGUCAAUGCCAAAGUAUUUCGGGCCAAGGAAUUGGAGACCGAUCGUCUGGUGGCAUUAAAGAUACAGCACUACGAUGAGGAGCAUCAGGUGUCCAUCGAGGAGGAGUAUCGUACUCUGCGCGACUAUUGUGCCCACCCCAAUCUCCCGGAGUUCUAUGGCGUGUAUAAGCUAUCGAAGCCGAAUGGUCCUGAUGAGAUUUGGUUCGUUUUGGAGUACUGUGCUGGAGGAACAGCCGUAGAUAUGGUUAAUAAGCUCCUGAAACUGGACCGUAGGAUGAGAGAGGAGCACAUCGCCUACAUCAUCCGGGAGACGUGUCGGGCAGCCAUCGAGCUGAAUCGCAAUCAUGUCCUGCAUCGGGACAUCCGUGGCGACAACAUUUUGCUCACGAAAAAUGGACGGGUGAAGCUCUGCGAUUUCGGUCUGUCCCGUCAAGUGGAUUCGACUUUGGGGAAGCGAGGCACUUGCAUUGGUUCGCCGUGUUGGAUGGCCCCCGAAGUGGUGGCUGCCAUGGAGUCCCGCGAACCCGAUAUCACCGUUCGGGCAGAUGUCUGGGCCCUGGGUAUCACCACCAUUGAGUUGGCCGAUGGAAAGCCUCCCUUUGCUGAUAUGCAUCCCACUCGAGCCAUGUUCCAGAUCGUGCGGAAUCCACCGCCGACACUGAUGCGACCCACGAAUUGGUCCCAGCAGAUCAAUGACUUUAUUGCCGAGUGUCUGGAGAAGAGUGCCGAGAAUCGCCCCAUGAUGGUCGAGAUGGUAGAGCAUCCAUUCCUCACGGAGCUCAUUGAGAACGAGCAGGAGAUGCAGUCGGAUCUUGCAGAGAUGCUGGAGCUUUCGCGGGACGUGAAGAGCCUGUACAAGGAGCCGGAACUAUUUGUGGAUCGCGGCUAUAUCAAGCGCUUCGAUGGGAAGCCGGAGCGCAUGUAUCCUGAAGAUUUGGCAGCCCUGGAAAACCCCGUGGAUGAGAGCAUCAUUGAUUCGCUGCUAAAUCGCAUGAUGACUGGUGAAUCCUAUAGUUUUAUUGGAGAUAUCCUGCUGUCCCUGAAUUCGAAUGAGAUCCAAAGCGAAUUCCCUCCGGAGUUCCACGCCAAAUACCGAUUCAAGUCGCGCUCGGAGAACCAACCCCAUAUCUUCUCCGUGGCCGAUAUUGCCUACCAGGAUAUGCUCCAUCAUCGCGAGCCCCAGCACAUUGUCCUUUCUGGGGAGAGCUACUCGGGCAAGUCGACCAACGCCCGUCUGCUGAUCAAGCAUCUGUGCUAUCUUGGGGCUGGCAAUCGGGGUGCCACUGGGCGCGUGGAGACCUCCAUUAAGGCCAUCCUGAUGAUGGUCAAUGCCGGCACUCCCGUCAACAACGACUCCACCCGCUGUGUCCUGCAGUAUUGUCUGACUUUCGGCAAGACGGGAAAGAUGAGUGGAGCGGUAUUCAAUAUGUAUAUGCUGGAGAAGCUGCGAGUGGCCACGUGUGACGGCACCCAGCACAAUUUCCACAUUUUCUACUAUUUCUAUGACUUCAUCAACCAGCAGAAUCAGCUGAAGGACUACAAUCUGAAAGCGGACCGCAACUAUCGCUAUCUGCGCGUGCCACCAGAUGCUCCCCCAACCAAGAUCAAGUAUCGUCGCGACGAUCCCGAGGGUAAUGUGGAGCACUACCGUGAGUUCGAGAACAUUCUCAGGGAUCUGGACUUUAACCACAAGCAGCUGGAGACUGUGCGAAAGGUGCUGGCUGCCAUCUUAAACAUUGGAAACAUUCGCUUCCGACAGUCCGGCAAGUACGCCGAAGUCGAGAACACGGAUAUAGUAUCGCGUAUUGCCGAGCUCUUGAGGGUGGAUGAGAAGAAAUUCAUGUGGUCCUUAACAAACUUCAUAAUGGUCAAGGGAGGUGUGGCCGAAAGACGGCAGUAUACCGCAGAGGAGGCUCGCGAUGCACGCGAUGCUGUGGCCAGCACCAUCUACUCCCGAUUUGUGGACUUUAUUAUCAACAGGAUUAACAUGAACAUGUCGUUUCCAAGAGCUGUCUUUGGCGACACAAACGCCAUCAUUAUCCAUGACAUGUUCGGCUUUGAGUGCUUCAAUCGGAAUGGCAUGGAGCAGCUAAUGAUCAACACUCUGAACGAACAGAUGCAAUAUCACUACAACCAACGCAUUUUUAUUAGCGAAAUGCUCGAAAUGGAGGCCGAGGAUAUAGACACCAUUAACUUGAACUUCUACGAUAACAAGACCGCUUUGGAUAAUCUGCUAACCAAGCCAGAUGGUCUCUUCUACAUCAUUGAUGAUGCCUCACGCUCCUGCCAGGAUCAGGACUUGAUUAUGGAUCGCGUUUCGGAGAAACACAGCCAGUUUGUGAAGAAGCACACUGCCACUGAAAUAUCCGUCGCUCAUUAUACGGGCCGCAUCAUCUAUGAUACUCGCUCCUUCACGGACAUCAACCGCGACUUUGUCCCCCCGGAAAUGAUUGAGACGUUCCGCUCUUCGCUGGACGAGAGCAUAAUGCUCAUGUUCACCAAUCAACUGACGAAAGCUGGCAAUCUGACAAUGCCUUUUGAGGCUGUCCAGCAUAAGGAUGAAACUGAACGCAGGUCCUACGCCCUCAACACUUUGAGUGCUGGAUGCAUCUCCCAGGUGAACAAUUUACGUACUCUGUCGGCCAAUUUCCGCUUCACCUGCCUGACUCUGCUCAAAAUGCUAAGCCAAAAUGCCAGUCUCGGCGUGCACUUUGUCCGUUGCAUACGAGCUGAUUUGGAGUACAAGCCGCGUGCGUUCCACUCGGACGUGGUGCAGCAACAGAUGAAGGCUCUGGGUGUCCUGGACACGGUCAUUGCCCGGCAAAAGGGCUACAGCUCUCGACUGGGCUUCGAUGAGUUCCUCAGACGCUAUCAAUUCCUAGCCUUUGACUUUGAUGAGCCUGUGGAAAUGACAAAAGAGAAUUGUCGUCUCUUAUUUUUACGUCUCAAGAUGGAGGGUUGGGCCUUGGGCAAGUCCAAAGUCUUUUUGCGCUACUACAACGAUGAGUUCUUAGCCAGAAAUUACGAGCUUCAAGUGAAGAAAGUCAUCAAAGUGCAGUCCAUGAUGCGGGCACUUUUAGCCCGAAAACGUGUCAAAGGUGGCAAGGUCUUUAAAUUGGGCAAAAAGGGUCAGGAGCAUUCCGAUUUGGCGGCUGCCAAAAUACAAAAAGCGUAUCGCGAGUUCCGUGACCGGGUCCGUCUGCCGCCGCUGGUCAAUGAGAAGACGGGCCAACGGAAUGAGAACACCGCCGACUUUAUUCGACCCUAUGCCAAGAAAUGGCGAGAGAAGUCCAUCUUUCAGGUCCUGCUGCACUACAGAGCGGCCCGCUUCCAGGACUUUGUCAAUCUCUCACAACAGGUACAUAUUUACAACCAACGGAUGGUCGGUGGGCUGAACAAAUGCACCCGGUCGGUGCCCUUCGAGCGCAUUAAUAUGCGGGAGGUAAACUCCUCGCAGCUGGGACCGCUCCCUGUUCCGAUGAAGAAGAUGCCAUUCCGCCUGGAUCAGAUACCCUUCUAUGACACACAGUACAUGGUGGAUCCGGCCAAUUCUAUAUCUCGUCAAACGUUUCCCAAUCAGUUGCUGGUGCAAAAUCUGGAAGAUGAUGAAGCCUGGGAUAGUCCUCUACAGCGCAAUCCUUCGAUGACUUCGUGUGCCAUGACCUACAAUGCUUAUAAGAAAGAACAGGCUUGCCAGACCAAUUGGGAUCGUAUGGGCGAAAGCGAUAAUAUAUACAAUCAGGGGUUCUUUAGAGAUCCACAGCAGUUAAGAAGAAACCAAGUGCAACAAAACAUGAAUGCUUACAACAAUGCCUAUAACAACUACAACAGCAGCAACAAUCCCAACUGGGGCCGGUCAGGAUCCCGUCGUAAUUCCCUCAAGGGCUACGCGGCGCCACCGCCGCCUCCACCGAUGCCUUCAUCCAACAACUACUAUCGAAAUAAUCCCAGUCAACAGCCUCAAAGGAACUACCAGCAACGCUCCUCGUAUCCACCUUCAGAUCCCAUAAGAGAGCUCCAAAACAUGGCACGCAACGACGGAGACAACUCCGAGGAUCCUCCAUUCAACUUCAAGGCCAUGCUGCGCAAGACAAACUAUCCAAGGGGCUCAGAGACCAGCACCUAUGACUUUAACAAUCGCCGGGGGUCGGACGCCGGGGAUCAGCAGCACACAUUCCAGGCACCCAAACUACGCUCCACUGGACGCCGCUUCGAAGAUGAGGGGGGCUAUAAAACCUCGGCGGGCAACUAUGGGGCAGCCCGCAACUUUGGCCAGCAGCGGGCUCCUCCUUUGAACCAGAGCUCCUCCAGUGUGGGUCGCAGCUUUGAGAACAGCAAUGCAAGGUCCUUCGAGCAGGCGGGCUCCUAUGUUGAAGAGGAGAUUGCACCAGGGGUGACCCUAUCCGGAUAUGCAGUGGACAUAUAAACAUAGUACUACUUCAAGAACCGGCUCCAAGUCCCACCAGAUAGCAGAUAUGCAGACUUUACACAUUGAGUGGAGUGCUCUCACAGUGGAUUUCAUGUAGAACUUAAAUGUAACUUAAAACAUAACUAAAACAUAGUUUUCUUAACAUUGUUAACUCCCAAGAGUAUCCCUUGGUAUGUGUCUUAAUGGUUUAAUACCAUUUUUGUCCAUUUUGUCCAAAAUAUAUUUUAGUUUGAAGGUUUUUAGCAAUAAAUUGAAUUCAGCAAA